GGCCGGUCCAAGUGCAAUAGUGUUUAUAACUAAUUAAUCACAACCAGUUACAGAUUCCUUUGUUCCUUCUCCAUUCCCACUGCUUCACUUGAAUAGCCUGGG
ensembl:misc_RNA Y_RNA Y RNA